rnacentral:hammerhead_ribozyme from 1 species
AUCCAACCGACGAUUCCCAAAUAGGACGAAACGCGCAUCCUGGAU